rnacentral:rRNA from 1 species
GGUUAAGCGACUAAGCGUACACGGUGGAUGCCCUGGCAGUCAGAGGCGAUGAAGGACGUGCUAAUCUGCGAUAAGCGUCGGUAAGGUGAUAUGAACCGUUAUAACCGGCGAUUUCCGAAUGGGGAAACCCAGUGUGAUUCGUCACACUAUCAUUAACUGAAUCCAUAGGUUAAUGAGGCGAACCGGGGGAACUGAAACAUCUAAGUACCCCGAGGAAAAGAAAUCAACCGAGAUUCCCCCAGUAGCGGCGAGCGAACGGGGAGCAGCCCAGAGCCUGAAUCAGUGUGUGUGUUAGUGGAAGCGUCUGGAAAGGCGCGCGAUACAGGGUGACAGCCCCGUACACAAAAAUGCACAUACUGUGAGCUCGAUGAGUAGGGCGGGACACGUGGUAUCCUGUCUGAAUAUGGGGGGACCAUCCUCCAAGGCUAAAUACUCCUGACUGACCGAUAGUGAACCAGUACCGUGAGGGAAAGGCGAAAAGAACCCCGGCGAGGGGAGUGAAAAAGAACCUGAAACCGUGUACGUACAAGCAGUGGGAGCACAGAGCAAUCUGUGUGACUGCGUACCUUUUGUAUAAUGGGUCAGCGACUUAUAUUCUGUAGCAAGGUUAACCGAAUAGGGGAGCCGAAGGGAAACCGAGUCUUAACUGGGCGUUAAGUUGCAGGGUAUAGACCCGAAACCCGGUGAUCUAGCCAUGGGCAGGUUGAAGGUUGGGUAACACUAACUGGAGGACCGAACCGACUAAUGUUGAAAAAUUAGCGGAUGACUUGUGGCUGGGGGUGAAAGGCCAAUCAAACCGGGAGAUAGCUGGUUCUCCCCGAAAGCUAUUUAGGUAGCGCCUCGUGAAUUCAUCUCCGGGGGUAGAGCACUGUUUCGGCAAGGGGGUCAUCCCGACUUACCAACCCGAUGCAAACUGCGAAUACCGGAGAAUGUUAUCACGGGAGACACACGGCGGGUGCUAACGUCCGUCGUGAAGAGGGAAACAACCCAGACCGCCAGCUAAGGUCCCAAAGUCAUGGUUAAGUGGGAAACGAUGUGGGAAGGCCCAGACAGCCAGGAUGUUGGCUUAGAAGCAGCCAUCAUUUAAAGAAAGCGUAAUAGCUCACUGGUCGAGUCGGCCUGCGCGGAAGAUGUAACGGGGCUAAACCAUGCACCGAAGCUGCGGCAGCGACGCUUAUGCGUUGUUGGGUAGGGGAGCGUUCUGUAAGCCUGCGAAGGUGUGCUGUGAGGCAUGCUGGAGGUAUCAGAAGUGCGAAUGCUGACAUAAGUAACGAUAAAGCGGGUGAAAAGCCCGCUCGCCGGAAGACCAAGGGUUCCUGUCCAACGUUAAUCGGGGCAGGGUGAGUCGACCCCUAAGGCGAGGCCGAAAGGCGUAGUCGAUGGGAAACAGGUUAAUAUUCCUGUACUUGGUGUUACUGCGAAGGGGGGACGGAGAAGGCUAUGUUGGCCGGGCGACGGUUGUCCCGGUUUAAGCGUGUAGGCUGGUUUUCCAGGCAAAUCCGGAAAAUCAAGGCUGAGGCGUGAUGACGAGGCACUACGGUGCUGAAGCAACAAAUGCCCUGCUUCCAGGAAAAGCCUCUAAGCAUCAGGUAACAUCAAAUCGUACCCCAAACCGACACAGGUGGUCAGGUAGAGAAUACCAAGGCGCUUGAGAGAACUCGGGUGAAGGAACUAGGCAAAAUGGUGCCGUAACUUCGGGAGAAGGCACGCUGAUAUGUAGGUGAAGUCCCUCGCGGAUGGAGCUGAAAUCAGUCGAAGAUACCAGCUGGCUGCAACUGUUUAUUAAAAACACAGCACUGUGCAAACACGAAAGUGGACGUAUACGGUGUGACGCCUGCCCGGUGCCGGAAGGUUAAUUGAUGGGGUUAGCGCAAGCGAAGCUCUUGAUCGAAGCCCCGGUAAACGGCGGCCGUAACUAUAACGGUCCUAAGGUAGCGAAAUUCCUUGUCGGGUAAGUUCCGACCUGCACGAAUGGCGUAAUGAUGGCCAGGCUGUCUCCACCCGAGACUCAGUGAAAUUGAACUCGCUGUGAAGAUGCAGUGUACCCGCGGCAAGACGGAAAGACCCCGUGAACCUUUACUAUAGCUUGACACUGAACAUUGAGCCUUGAUGUGUAGGAUAGGUGGGAGGCUUUGAAGUGUGGACGCCAGUCUGCAUGGAGCCGACCUUGAAAUACCACCCUUUAAUGUUUGAUGUUCUAACGUUGACCCGUGAUCCGGGUUGCGGACAGUGUCUGGUGGGUAGUUUGACUGGGGCGGUCUCCUCCUAAAGAGUAACGGAGGAGCACGAAGGUUGGCUAAUCCUGGUCGGACAUCAGGAGGUUAGUGCAAUGGCAUAAGCCAGCUUGACUGCGAGCGUGACGGCGCGAGCAGGUGCGAAAGCAGGUCAUAGUGAUCCGGUGGUUCUGAAUGGAAGGGCCAUCGCUCAACGGAUAAAAGGUACUCCGGGGAUAACAGGCUGAUACCGCCCAAGAGUUCAUAUCGACGGCGGUGUUUGGCACCUCGAUGUCGGCUCAUCACAUCCUGGGGCUGAAGUAGGUCCCAAGGGUAUGGCUGUUCGCCAUUUAAAGUGGUACGCGAGCUGGGUUUAGAACGUCGUGAGACAGUUCGGUCCCUAUCUGCCGUGGGCGCUGGAGAACUGAGGGGGGCUGCUCCUAGUACGAGAGGACCGGAGUGGACGCAUCACUGGUGUUCGGGUUGUCAUGCCAAUGGCACUGCCCGGUAGCUAAAUGCGGAAGAGAUAAGUGCUGAAAGCAUCUAAGCACGAAACUUGCCCCGAGAUGAGUUCUCCCUGACUCCUUGAGAGUCCUGAAGGAACGUUGAAGACGACGACGUUGAUAGGCCGGGUGUGUAAGCGCAGCGAUGCGUUGAGCUAACCGGUACUAAUGAACCGUGAGGCUUAACCUU